AUCUUACGGUGUUUAUACAUCUCAACUUGUACGAUUCGCUCGUGUAUGUAACAAUGUUUUAGAUUUUAACGAGAGAAAUUUAUGUGUUACUGAAAAAUUAUUACACCAGGGGUUUUCGAUAUCACAAACUAGUCAAAACAUUUACUAAAUUUUAUCAUCGGUAUAAAGACAUCAUUCGUAAAUAUAGCUCAACAUGCAGAUUUCUAAUACGUUCAGGUAUUUCACAUCCAAUUUUUUAUGGAAAUAUUCUUUAUAAAGCACAAAGGUGUCAGUAUUCACCUCAGAAACUUACAAAACCUUUGAAUAGACUUAUUAAGAAGGGAUAUAAUUACG
rnacentral:lncRNA from 1 species